rnacentral:tRNA from 1 species
GGUGAGGUAGCUCAGAUGGCUAGAGCGGAGGUCUCAUAAUCCUCAGGUCGAGGGUUCGAUUCCCUCCCUCACCA